CAGACGUGAAGGAAGAUCCCGAAUGGAUCGUGGUGGAAGAAGAUCGCUUUAAAAACGAUUACGACAAGGAUAAGGAUGGGAAGCUGAACCCCAAAGAGCUGCUGACUUGGGUGAUGCCCAACAACGAAGGCCUUGCCCAGGAAGAGGCUGUUCACCUUCUUGACGAGAUGGACUUGGACGGAGACCGGAGACUUUCCACCAACGAAAUCCUUGAAAAUCAAGACCUCUUCCUCAACAGCGAAGCCACCGAUUACGGCCGACAACUCCACGACAAAAGUUUCUACCACGAAGAGCUUUAAUUUCCAAAUGAUAUUUUGCCUUCCUUUCCAAAUUGAGAUUUUCCUCCCCUCUGUUGUUCAGCUUUAAAAAUGAUAAUAAGAAUAAUAAUACCAGUUAGGCAACAAUUUUACGUUGCUAACAUGCCCUGUAGGUUGCCAGUGUUACUUUGGUGGUCUAAUUUAAAAAAUGAAGAAGAAGAAGAAGAAGAACCAGAGUGGGGAUCUUCAGUGCUCAGAUUUCAAUACUGCUUUUUGAAACAUACUUGAAAAUACCAGGUAUUCGACUGCAAAGUAGCCCUAGAUUCGGUUAGAUUUUUAUUCUUGUAGGAAAGGGGAAAUGCAAGGGUAGCUGUCUGGUUCCGUGUUGUUCAUAGUUUUUCUAUCCUAUUUUGUAUAUUACAAAAUUCGGGAGGAUGAAGUGUUAAAUCCCAGGUUUCUGUGCAUAUUCACUUGUUGGAUGGUAGACAAUAAGGGAAGUAUUUCCGCAUUUGGAAAGUAUUCUAUUUACUUGGAUUAAAACGUUCAAAUCUUCCACCCCA